UUAAAAAUAUGUUUAUUUCAUCUUUGAAUGAGUUGAGAAAGUAGAAAAACAUGGUGGAAUGUAACGAGAUUGAGUUCAAUGUAAUACAAUUUAAAUUUUUUAACUCAAUCUCACAAAAUACAUCCAUUAAUCUGAAUUUACAGCAACACACAAUACAGCUCCUGAAUUGGUCCACUACUUGUUCCACUCCAUACUCAACUUAGCUUAGAGAUUGGCUUAAACUAAACAUAACAUUAAUCAAAUUACACAUGAAAUCAGUCCACAUAAUAAAGGAUUUCAAAUAUAUAAAUUACAUAACCAUGAAGCACAUAAAUAGGCCAAUCUUGAAUUACAAAGACAUAACCAAAUCGUGCACUUACUCUCGGAUGUCAUGGGAAGCUGAAUGGUGGGUCAAUUUUAUGCCGAUUAAGGUCUUAGAUAUAACCAUAUGAUAACCCAAUAUGAUAGCAAGAGAACUUGGUUCAAUUUUAAUCUAAAUGAUAGAAAGCAUGUAGCAUGUAGGUAAAACUCAAACACGAUCGAGAAAAAUACUUCAAAAAGUUAUGAUGGUUCGCAUGCCAGCAACAAGUGAGAGAGAGGAGCAUAACUCACAAACAAGGUAUAUGGAUUACGAAAACUCAACAUCGUGUGGGAGGAAAUUUUGGCAUAGUAACACCUUUUAAAAUGAAGAUUUUAAGAUCAAGAGAAGACUAAAACCUUGGCUAUUAUAUCAGUGAAUGAUGUAGGAAAUUCAACUGUGUUAUUCUAAAUCAAAAUGAGCUCUAAAUGAACUAUGCUUGUACUAGUAUAUGUGGGAACCAAGAGGCAUGAAAGGUGCAAGUAUUAGUUCAUGAAAGAGGGGACCAAAAUGAAGAUUAUCUUGCUGUAAAUGAGCAAUGAACAGCAACGAAGAAGGACUUAGAUCACUACCAAUGGUUCCUUUGGUCCUCAUGAGUAGGCAUCCAUACCAUGCGCCGUAGGGCAGACUUACCGAGGUACAGAAAGGGGGCCGUGUUUCUACAUGUUUCUCUCUAUCUUUCUCUCUCUCUCUCAAAAAAUCUCCCUCAAACUCUUAGAGAAGCCACACAUUGAGGUCUAGAAGUUAAGUGUCGAGGGCUUUAGUGUUAGAGAGCUUAUAUAAAGAGGGAGGUAGGAUUUUGAGUUGGCCUAGGUGUUAGAUCAAAUUACGACCACAUAUCAUG
rnacentral:lncRNA from 1 species